rnacentral:lncRNA from 1 species
UCCUGAUCCAGUAUCCGCAACAAGAACAGUCACGUCAUAAUUUUGAACAGUGUCCAUGAUUUGACUUCGAAAUCGAUAAAUCGGGAGAUGCUUCUUAAAAGUCUGGAUCUCACGGUGCAACUAGAUAUUGAUGUCAUACUCGAUCAAUGGAAUAUUAUUUUGUAAUGUCAAAUGUGCAUAUUAAUGAAGAUACUAUUAUACAAGCUUAAAGUAAAUCGUUAACAACCUUGGGGACCAUAUUCUCCGGAUUAGUAAGUAUUUCCUGGAGUGUUCUUUGAAACUCUUCCAUUUCGUCAGCAUUGUUAAUUAAUUGUUCACGUAGGGUAUGGAUUGUCUUUAAUUUAGCCUCCCUUGUAUUAAGCAUUCGAAAUUCCUUAGAUCCUCUUCCACUAGGAACUUCAUUCCAUUGCAGGGAUUCUUCCACACCCUUGAUUUUAUUCUUAAUUUCCUCAUUUUCGCGUUGAAACUGAGUUCUCAGGUCUGUUAGUAAUGCUUGAAAAGUUGUCAUUACAAUUUUGUUAGUUAUAAGUAUAAGAACAAAGCAACUUAUUUCACUUAUCAACAUUGAUUGUCAAUCGCUCGAUGAUGUGUUUUGUUCCUCCAAUCUUCUGGUGAUAUCAUAAUAAUCCAGUCUUAAAGAAUAGGUGGGGAAACCGUGUGAUGUCAUGUAGUGCGAGCGAGGAGAACUGCAGAAGGGAAAUUGCUUGUAAUAUUAAUAAAUUAUAUUAAUAGAUUUAUAUGAAUCAUU